AUAAUUCUUGUAAUGAAUGGAC
rnacentral:misc_RNA from 1 species